rnacentral:rRNA from 1 species
ACGAAGCACUUUAUUCAGAUUCUUUCGGGAUGAUGAAUUUAGUGACUUAGUGGCGGACGGGUGAGUAACGCGUGGGUAACCUGCCUUACACAGGGGGAUAACAGUUAGAAAUGACUGCUAAUACCGCAUAAAACAGCAGCACCGCAUGGUGCAACUGUCAAAGAUUUAUCGGUGUAAGAUGGACCCGCGUCUGAUUAGCCAGUUGGUGGGGUAACGGCCUACCAAAGCGACGAUCAGUAGCCGACCUGAGAGGGUGACCGGCCACAUUGGGACUGAGACACGGCCCAAACUCCUACGGGAGGCAGCAGUGGGGAAUAUUGGACAAUGGGCGAAAGCCUGAUCCAGCGACGCCGCGUGAGCGAUGAAGUAUUUCGGUAUGUAAAGCUCUAUCAGCAGGGAAGAAAAUGACGGUACCUGACUAAGAAGCCCCGGCUAACUACGUGCCAGCAGCCGCGGUAAUACGUAGGGGGCAAGCGUUAUCCAGAUUUACUGGGUGUAAAGGGAGCGUAGACGGAAGUGCAAGUCAGAAGUGAAAGCCCGGGGCUUAACCCCGGGACUGCUUUUGAAACUGUGCAUCUAGAGUGCAGGAGAGGUAAGCGGAAUUCCUAGUGUAGCGGUGAAAUGCGUAGAUAUUAGGAGGAACACCGGUGGCGAAGGCGGCUUACUGGACUGUAACUGACGUUGA